UUUCGCAAUGCCCGAAAGGGUGACUAUGCGACGCCGCGUGUGCGAUGAAGGUUUUCGGAUUGUAAAGCACUGUCAGCUGGGAGGAAUCUCUGGGGCUCUAAUAGAGCCGCAGGGUGACAGUACCAGCAGAGGAAGCCACGGCUAACUCCGUGCCAGCAGCCGCGGUAAGGCGAAGGUGGCUAGCGUUGCUCGGAUUUACUGGGCAUAAAGCGCUGCGUAGGUGGUCGUGUAAGCGGGGGAUGAAAGCCCAUGGCUCACCCAUGGAACUGUCCCCCGGACUGCACGGCUCGAGGAAGGAAGGGGAGAAUGGAAUUCCCGGUGUAGCGGUGAAAUGCGUAGAUAUCGGGAGGAACGCCGGUGGCGAAAGCGAUUCUCUGGUCCUUUCCUGACACUGAGGCGCGAAAGCUAGGGGAGCAAACAGGAUUAGAUACCCUGGUAGUCCUAGCUGUAAACGAUGGGCACUAAGUAGAGGGGUUUU
rnacentral:rRNA from 1 species